AUUGAACGCUGGCGGCAUGCUUUACACAUGCAAGUCGAACGGUAACAGGCCGCAAGGUGCUGACGAGUGGCGAACGGGUGAGUAACGCAUCGGAACGUGCCCAGUCGUGGGGGAUAACGCAGCGAAAGCUGUGCUAAUACCGCAUACGAUCUAUGGAUGAAAGCGGGGGACCGUAAGGCCUCGCGCGAUUGGAGCGGCCGAUGUCAGAUUAGGUAGUUGGUGGGGUAAAGGCUCACCAAGCCAACGAUCUGUAGCUGGUCUGAGAGGACGACCAGCCACACUGGGACUGAGACACGGCCCAGACUCCUACGGGAGGCAGCAGUGGGGAAUUUUGGACAAUGGGCGCAAGCCUGAUCCAGCAAUGCCGCGUGCAGGAAGAAGGCCUUCGGGUUGUAAACUGCUUUUGUACGGAACGAAAAGGUUUGGGUUAAUACCCUGGGCCGAUGACGGUACCGUAAGAAUAAGCACCGGCUAACUACGUGCCAGCCGCCGCCGUAAAAC
rnacentral:rRNA from 1 species